rnacentral:lncRNA from 1 species
GCUGGACCUUACACCUCUCUGUGUUUGCAGUGCUGGCUGUUGUUUGGGGCUCCACCUUUGCUGCAGGUAAGACUGACUUGCAAAAGCUUUGAAGUGAGCACAUAAAUGUAGCAAAUGCUCAUAUAAAGGUAACAAACGUUGACCUUACUUCACAGAACAGUUUUAAAUAAGUAUUACAAGCUUAUGUAAGGUUUCAUGUUUUUACACUUACUGAGAGCCUUUCAAUGAUGAUGAGCAUGUUUUAGACAGUUCAAUGCUUGCUAGCUCCAUAAACCAGGUCUGGGGUCUGGAGCCACGAGUUGAGAACCAGUCCCAGUCACAUGUUUGUGUUCUGACAGAAACGGAGGUGAUCUACGCCUGUCACAACCAGACCGCUGAGAUGUCCUGCGACGUCGGCACCAGCAUUAGCCUGGAGCACAUCCUGUAUAAGGUUGGCGUGGGGACGCGAUGUGGCGAGGGGAAGCGUCACCCGGACGACGGGGAGGGCGUGUACUGCAGCUUCCCCUGGGCAGAGAUGGUGGUGGAGGACCUAUGUGGGAACAAGAGAACCUGUAAAGUCCCCGUGACUGAGCUGGUCUUCGGUGAAUAUCCCUGUGAGGAGCAGACUCGCUAUCUGGAAGUUUCCUACAGCUGCGCCAAACCUCCACCUCCACCUCAACCACCAGCACCAGUGAAAGUAGCUCAACCUGACUGUAUGUGCGCACACACACACACAAACACAUACAAACGUAUGCACCUUCACACAAAAACGCACGCACACACACAUACAACACACACAUGUGCGCAGGUGUUAUAUUUUGAAAAAUCACCACUUCUGCUCCUGACUUAAGAAGGGUCUAGCUGCAGCCGCUACACGCUCCGCAAGAAACCACGCCCUCUACAAAAUAUGCCCUAUUGAUCACCCUUAUCCAAUACCUGGA